AUAACAACAUGAACAUUCGCUGUCAUUCACUCAUUGUCAAAGCGAAACUUGCCGAAACCAUUCCCGGAGCCCGUGAAUCUAGCUCUAGAUAGAUCUAGACAUUCUAGAUCUGGAGUUCUAAGACUCAAAGUCUCAGAGAAAUAUCAAGAGUUCACAAUGUCAAGAAUAAAGAUAAGGACCUGAUUGCAUUGCAAAUGAUAGAUCUGUAUUUAAUAUAAAUUUUAAACAUGGCUGUAAUCCAAGUCCAAACUCACAAAGGAAGACAAAGGCUAUAAUGUUCACUUGUGUGUGUGUGUAAUCUAGCUCAACUGCCUGGCUGAGUAUUUAUUGCACAGUAUACCAAGUACAACAUAUGAUACAGGAACCACAAAUGAUAUAAAUAAUAACAACAACCAUGACUUUCAUGGACAGGACAGACCUAAAUCCUGCGCAAGUAAAAGAUUAGAAGUGAAUUAAUAGAUUGCUGCUGAAAUCCUCAGUUUAAUUACCUUUGCCACCAGCUGCUAUUAUGGUAGUACUUCACUGGCCUGGCGCAAUGACAUCCACUAAAUCUAGACACUGGACAAAGUGGUCAUCUGCUCUUCAAUCAGGCUAGAACAGAGAGAUGUCAAAGCUUCUUUAGUCCACUUUCAGUUCAGGGUGUUUCGACGUCACUUGUCGCCACUGAGAAUUAUGUAGGAGCCCAAUUCUUCAAGAGCUGGUUGCGUGUGUGUUUUUUUUUUUGUUUUUUUUUGUAUGCUGUUUCUACAUGCAUCUAUAAUUUAUAUCAUGAUUGUUAUAAGUUUAAUACUGAUGUGGAUUUGAACAUUUGACCAUCACAAAGAAGAUAUAAGACAUUGAUCACAAAAACAAAUAGACACACAAAAACACUUUUGGGAGUUUUUUUGGCAAUAAAGUUGAAAAAAACUGGUAACUUACUGUUUUAAAUUUUGAAUGUAUUAUUGUGUGCUAUCAUACAAAUUAUUUGCUCUAAUUAUGUAUUGUUUUUUGAAAUGCACAAUUAUCCUCAUGGGUAAUAAAAAUAAUUAAUAUUAUUAUUAUUAUUAAAUGUAGCCAAACUGAAUUUCUAUUUCUUUAGACCAAUAUAUAAAUUAUCUUUGCCUGUUAAUGGAGUCUUGAGUGAAUAGAAUUUAAAUGUCUUGGCCUGAUGGAGCUAGAUCUUAUCUUAUAUAAUACAGACGUUACUUCAAAAAAGAAGAUGAUUACGUCCUACGCGUCAUGCAUCUAGUCAUGCAUAUUAACCAAUGACUUAAAUUCUGCCAAGUCACUGGUUUUCCUGGCUAGCUCAGGCAAUAAGAGGAUUAACCGACACUUGCAAAAAAUUUUUUCAGAACAAAUCUGUGAUUUCGGAUAUAAGUUUUAGCAUUAAAUACAGAAAAGCGAAAGAAAUGACUGGAAAUGUUUGCAAGCUGUGCUUCUGCAAUCUCCCUGGAUCUCAUGUUCUGCUAAAUGCUGUGCUAAAUUUCCCAGAUGGAAGAUGUUUGUUAGUUUAACAUGUUUUAGGUGUUCCUUCAGAGUUGAACAAAUCUACAUCCUAGUCCAAGCCUCAUGCGGAAAAAUGCACUUUUUUUUUGUUUUUGAAAAAAUAAAAUAAAUUUAGAGAAAGCCACUCCAGAUGCAGACUUCUACGUUAAGCAGAAUAAGGGGAAGCAAUUUAUUUAGCUG